rnacentral:rRNA from 1 species
AACGUAGGACACAAGCGUUAUCCGGAGUUACUGGGCGUAAAGGGCGUGUAGGCGGACCUAUAAGUCUAUUCUGAAAGCUCCUGGCUAAACUGGGAGAGGCGAAUGGAGACUGUAGAUCUAGAGUGAGGAAGAGGAAAGUGGAAUUCCGCGUGUAGUGGUGAAAUGCGUAGAGAUCGGAAAGAACACCAACGGCGAAAGGCACUCUGCUGGGCCGACACUGACACUGGAGAGACGAAAG